GAUGAACGUUGGCGGUGUGCCUAAUACAUGCAAGUCGAACGGAGACUGUAGCAAUACUGUCUUAGUGGCGAACGGGUGAGUAACGCGUUGGUGAUCUGCCUCGAAGUGUGGAAUAACCUCCCGAAAGGGAAGCUAAUACCGCAUAGUCUCUCAAGGUUUAGAAAAUUGAGAGUAAAGGAUUUAUUCGCUUCGAGAGGAGCCUGCGUCCCAUCAGCUAGUUGGUAGGGUAACGGCCUACCAAGGCAAUGACGGGUAGGGGACCUGAGAGGGUGGCCCCCCACAAUGGAACUGAAACACGGUCCAUACACCUACGGGUGGCAGCAGUAGGGAAUAUUAGAAAUGGGCGGAAGCCUGAUCUAGCAACACCGCGUGUGCGAUGAAGGCCUUGGGUCGUAAAGCACUUUUUGGAGGGAAUAGGAAGGAAGGUACCUCCAGAAUAAGUCUCGGCUAACUACGUG
rnacentral:rRNA from 1 species